AACUUUCAGCAACGGAUCACGUGGUUCUGGCAUCGAUGAAGAACGCAGCGAAAUGCGAUAAGUAAUGUGAAUUGCAGAAUUCAGUGAAUCAUCGAAUCUUUGAACGCACAUUGCGCCCGCCAGUAUUCUGGCGGGCAUGCCUGUUCGAGCGUCAUUUCAACCCUCAAGCCCCCGGGCUUGGUGUUGGAGAUCGGCGUGCCCUCCGGGGCGCGCCGGCUCCCAAAUAUAGUGGCGGUCUCGCUGUAGCUUCCUCUGCGUAGUAGCACACCUCGCACUGGAAAACAGCGUGGCCACGCCGUUAAACCCCCCACUUCUGAAAGGUUGACCUCGGAUCAGGUAGGAAUACCCGCUGAACUUAAGCAUAUCAAUAAGCGGAGGCU
rnacentral:misc_RNA from 1 species